rnacentral:rRNA from 1 species
UAGAGUUUGAUCAUGGCUCAGAUCGAACGCUGGCGGCAUGGCUAAAGCAUGCAAGUCGAACGGUUAAAGCCCCUUCGGGGGUGUAUAGAGUGGCGAACGGGCGAGGAAUAUGUUCCUAACGUGCCCAAAGGCUGGGGAUAGCUCGAGGAAACUCGGGGUAAUACCCAAUAAUCCCACCGGGUCGCAUGACCUGGGGGGCAAAGAUUUAUCGCCUUUGGAUCGGGGAAUAUGGUAUCAGGUUGUUGGUGGGGUAACGGCCUACCAAGCCUAAGACGCCUAGCGGGUGUGAGAGCAUGACCCGCCGCAUCGGGACUGAGACACUGCCCGGACUCCUACGGGAGGCUGCAGCGACGAAUCUUCCGCAAUGCGCGAAAGCGUGACGGAGCAAUGCCGCGUGUGGGAUGAAGCGCCUCUGGUGUGUAAACCACUGUCAGGGUUCAGGAAUUUUGACCAGACCCAAAGGAAGGGCCGGCUAACUUCGUGCCAGCAGCCGCGGUAAUACGAAGGGCCCGAGCGUUGAUCGGAUUCAUUGGGCUUAAAGGGUGCGCAGGCGGGAUCGUCAGUGUCUUGUGAAAUCCCACGGCUCAACCGUGGAACUGCAGGGCAUACUGCGAUCCUUGAGGUCGGUAGGGGCUGUCGGAACUCUAGGUGUAGCGGUGAAAUGCGUAGAUAUCUAGAGGAACGCCAAUGGUGAAGACAGGCAGCUGGGCCGAUCCUGACGCUCAUGCACGAAAGCGUGGGUAGCGAAGAGGAUUAGAUACCCUCGUAGUCCACGCCGUAAACGAUGUGCACUAGGUCCUGGGAGCUCUGACGCUUUCGGGGCCGAAGUAAAAACAAUAAGUGCACCGCCUGGGGAGUACGGUCGCAAGGCUAAAACUCAAAGGAAUUGACGGGGGCUCACACAAGCGGUGGAGCAUGUGGCUUAAUUCGAGGCAACGCGAAGAACCUUAUCCUGGGUUUGACAUGUAUGGAUUAGCUUCUAGAAACAGAAGUGACACGUUUACGUGGAACAUACACAGGUGCUGCAUGGCUGUCGUCAGCUCGUGCUGUGAAGUGUUGGGUUAAGUCCCUUAACGAGCGAAACCCCUGCUGCUAGUUACCAUCGGUUCGGCCGGGAACUCUAGCAGGACUGCCGGUGUCAAACCGGAGGAAGGUGGGGAUGACGUCAAGUCCUCAUGGCCUUUACGCCCAGGGCUGCACACGUGCUACAAUGGCAACUACAAAGCGACGCAAUACCGCGAGGUGGAGCAAAUCGCAAAAAGGUUGCCCCAGUUCGGAUUGUAGUCUGCAAC